GACGAACGCUGGCGGCGUGCUUAACACAUGCAAGUCGAACGAAGAGCGAUGGAAGCUUGCUUCUAUCAAUCUUAGUGGCGAACGUGUGAGUAACGCGUAAUCAACCUGCCCUUCAGAGGGGGACAACAGUUGGAAACGACUGCUAAUACCGCAUACGAUCUAAUCUCGGCAUCGAGGAAAGAUGAAAGGUGGCCUCUAUUUAUAAGCUAUCACUGAAGGAGGGGAUUGCGUCUGAUUAGCUAGUUGGAGGGGUAACGGCCCACCAAGGCGAUGAUCAGUAGCCGGUCUGAGAGGAUGAACGGCCACAUUGGGACUGAGACACGGCCCAGACUCCUACGGGAGGCAGCAGUGGGGAAUCUUCCGCAAUGGACGAAAGUCUGACGGAGCAACGCCGCGUGAGUGAUGACGGCCUUCGGGUUGUAAAGCUCUGUUAAUCGGGACGAAAGGCCUUCUUGCGAACAGUUAGAAGGAUUGACGGUACCGGAAUAGAAAGCCACGGCUAACUACGUG
rnacentral:rRNA from 1 species